rnacentral:rRNA from 1 species
AUACAGAGGGUGCAAGCGUUAAUCGGAUUUACUGGGCGUAAAGCGCGCGUAGGUGGCUAAUUAAGUCAAAUGUGAAAUCCCCGAGCUUAACUUGGGAAUUGCAUUCGAUACUGGUUAGCUAGAGUAUGGGAGAGGAUGGUAGAAUUCCAGGUGUAGCGGUGAAAUGCGUAGAGAUCUGGAGGAAUACCGAUGGCGAAGGCAGACAUCUGGCCUAAUACUGACACUGAGGUGCGAAAGCAUGGGGAGCAAACAGAAUUAGAUACCCUGGUAGUCCAUGCCGUAAACGAUGUCUACUAGCCGUUGGGGCCCUUGAGGCUUUAGUGGCGCAGCUAACGCGAUAAGUAGACCGCCUGGGGAGUACGGUCGCAAGACUAAAACUCAAAUGAAUUGACGGGG